AUUGAACGCUGGCGGCAGGCUUAACACAUGCAAGUCGAACGAGUGGCGGACGGGUGAGUAAUGUCUGGGAAACUGCCCGAUGGAGGGGGAUAACUACUGGAAACGGUAGCUAAUACCGCAUACCAUCGGAUGUGCCCAGAUGGGAUUAGCUAGUUGGUGGGGUAAAGGCUCACCUAGGCGACGAUCCGUAGCUGGUCUGAGAGGAUGACCAGCAACACUGGAACUGAGACACGGCCCAGACUCCUACGGGAGGCAGCAGUGGGGAAUAUUGGACAAUGGGCGCAAGCCUGAUGCAGCCAUCCCGCGGGUAUGAAGAAGGCCUUCGGGUUGUAAAGUACUUUCAGCGGGGAGGCGUUACCCGCAGAAGAAGCACCGGCUAACUCCGUGCCAGCAGCCGCGGUAAUAC
rnacentral:rRNA from 1 species